rnacentral:rRNA from 23 species
CAAACGACUCUCGGCAACGGAUAUCUCGGCUCACGCAUCGAUGAAGAACGUAGCAAAAUGCGAUACUUGGUGUGAAUUGCAGAAUCCCGUGAACCAUCGAGUUUUUGAACGCAAGUUGCGCCCAAAGCCAUUUGGUUGAGGGCACGUCUGCCUGGGCGUCACGC